rnacentral:rRNA from 1 species
UACGAAGGGGGCGAGCGUUAUUCGGAAUUACUGGGCGUAAAGGGAGCGCAGGCGGUUCAUUUAGUCAGACGUGAAAGCCCCGGGCUCAACCCGGGAGGUGCGUUUGAUACUGGUGAGCUAGAAAUCAGAAGAGGAUAGUGGAAUUCCCAGUGUAGAGGUGAAAUUCGUAGAUAUUGGGAAGAACACCAGUGGCGAAAGCGGCUAUCUGGUCUGUAUUUGACGCUGAGGCUCGAAAGCGUGGGGAGCAAACAGG